rnacentral:misc_RNA from 1 species
CUAACAUUCAGAGAAACGGUCAAGCGAGGAGUAAAAGGUUGAGAAAUUACACACCGAGUGAAAAGGAUUCACACACGUAACAUAACGCUUGGAGGUCUCAAACCGUUAAAGGUAAAGUGAUCAAGAUGACCUCGGAGGACGCGGAACUCCGAAAUAUAGAAUUACAUUUCCCGCUCAUGCGGAACAUGUCCAGGAGUGAUUCCGAAUGCAGGCAGGAAGACAGAAUUAUGACAGACACGGGAACAAUGGUAGUAGCCGUCCAUGGCGACAGGAAUAAACCGGCCAUAUUCACAUACCAUGACAUAGGCCUCAAUCAUGUAACCAAUUUCCUCGCUUUCUUCAAUCAUCCAGACACGAGAGUGUUGAUGCAAAGUUUUUGUGUAUAUCAUAUAAACGCUCCAGGUCAAGAAGAAGACUCAACAACAUUACCGACAGCGUUCACCUUCCCUACAAUGGACAUGCUAGCAGAAAUGAUUCUUGCCGUAAUGGAGCACUAUGGGAUUAAGCAUUUCAUCGGAAUGGGCGUUGGAGCCGGAGCAAAUAUUCUUAGCCGUUUCGCAUUGCAACAUCCACACUGUGUAGAUGGACUUUUUCUCAUCAACUGCACGUCAACAGCCGCAGGUUGGACAGAGUGGGGUUACCAGAAAUUAAACACGAUGCAUCUCAGGAGUUCAGGGAUGACUUCAUCUACGCAAGAAUAUUUGAUGUGGCAUCACUUCGGAAAGACAGUAGAAAAUCGGAGUUAUGAUUUAAUGCAAGAAUUCAGGCAAUAUUUCAGCAAAUUCAAUCCUUACAAUCUCGCCCUUUUUAUCGAUUCCUUCAUACGACGUACUGACCUACAAAUUGUCAGAGAAACUGAUCCAUCGAAGAAGACGAGUGUAAGGAAUUUCAGGUGUCACGUCCUUUUGAUGUCUGGUGCCUUCUCGCCUCAUUUAGAAGAUACAGUAAUAAUGAACAGUCGGCUUGACCCUACGAAUUCCACGUGGAUGAAACUGUCUGACUGCGGUAUGCCGCUAGAAGAGAGACCACAUAAAGUCUGCGAAGCUCUUUACCUUUUUCUACAAGGAUUAGGACACGCUGUAAAUCAGUAUCGAAGAAGAUCUUCCGCAGCCUCUACGAGCAACGAAGCAUUCAAAGUACUUCAAGAAUACCAGAAUUCGCUAUCAAAAUCCUUGGAUGAGCAGUCGAACCAGCUACCAUCCACAGCAGUUACGACGACAACCUACAAUCCUCGGCAAGAAGUUCAUAUCGUUGAGAAUCCCAUCAACCAGCACACAUGCCCGUGAAAUGGAGACAACGAUCUUUCUUUUUUUCUUUUUGUUUCAUAUUUUUUUAUUUUCAUUUUCGCGCCCUAGGAACUUAGAUUAUCGAGAACGCUAGAUGAUGGUUGAUACACAAAUAUAUACAUGAUGCAUACAUAUAUUGUAACGACGAAAAAUAUUAGCUGUAAAAAUUAUUACGAAUAUCGAGUGCCUAGAGAGAAGGAUUGAUAUCCAACCGUUUUGGGUUGCUAGCUGUAUCUUCGAAAGUAGGAUCAAGAGCUGAUGCAGUCCUUCUUCAGAUGUGUUGCAAAGCCAGAACUUUUGCAAUGAAUCUAAUAUCUAUUUUGCUACGCUUGAGCGCAUAAUAAGUGUUAAAAGGAAUGUUAAUUUCAACCUCUUGAGGUAAUUACUCUUUUCUGUGUUUUCCUAACUACCCUUGGAUCAGCACCUAGUAACUCGGGAUCUGUUAAACCAAGAGUUGACUGUAGUACAAAAAUGGGGAAAAAAGAAAAAAAAGUCUGAAACUGAGUCCAUUCUCAUCCUCACAUAUGUUAUUUUCAAGUCUAGACAAUAAAUAAAAUGAUUCACAUCAAUAAAUAAGUCUGAUAAUGGUUUAUAAUAAAUUUCAAAAUAAAUACAAAUUACAGAUAAAAUGCCUGUAAAAGCAUAUAAUUGAAAAUCCCCGAAACUGAAGAGCAAAAGUCUAAUGUAAUCAACAAAUAUUUUAAAUCUAUUCUUUUAUAUGUAUCAAAAUAAAUAUUAAUUAUAUAGCCUUCAAUAUAUAAAAUGCAAAAGAGAAAUUUCAAACAGAAAUCGCUAUUUGUUUUACCCAGUUGAUUUCCAGAAUAUGAUAUUUAAAUUGGCAUUUGCAAAACUAAAACAGAAUUUACAAAUAUUGUUAGACCCCUGAAAUAAAACUUGUAAAAGCAACAUUUAUUAUAUUCAAUUACUACAUUCCACUACUAAUUUCCUUCAACAUUUACUUUCUAUUAAAAUUCUAUUUUAAUUCUAACAUUCAAUUUAAACAACUCAAAAAAAAAUUUUUUUUUAAAUAUUCUAACUCAAAAAUAUUUUAAAUCAUAAAACACUUGUAAAU